GCAUCGCGACCCAGGUCAGGCGGGAUUACCCGCUGAGUU
rnacentral:rRNA from 1 species